rfam:Photobacterium ganghwense strain DSM 22954 contig0002, whole genome shotgun sequence.
ACAUCACCAUCAUCAUCCUGACUAGUCUUUCAGGAGGAUACGCCUCGCUCUGGAAGACGCAAAACUCUCUUCCAGCGGUCAGCGAUACUACCCUAUUCAUGGACCCUCGGAAGAGCAUUCUUCCGAGGGUUUUUUCGU